rnacentral:lncRNA from 1 species
ACAGUAGACAUCAUCAUGUGGCUCUUCAUCAUGUGAUAAGUCAUUGGCAUCGACAUCAUCAUGUGACUCUUCAUCAUGUGAUAAGUCAUUGGCAUCGACAUCAUCAUGUGGCUCUUCAUCAUCUUGUGGCUCUUCAUUGACAUCGACUUCAUCGUCGUAAUACAUCUUAUCAUUCUCUUGGUAUAAAACAUCGUCAUCCCUAAUUGUGAUUGGAUAAAAUCUGAAUGGAAAAGCAACAAAAAUUAAAAAAUAGUAAGAAAAAUAGGGAAAAGGAAUAAGGAAUUAAGGAUUAAUAUUAUAUUUAAGGAUAUUUUAUUUCAACAGUAAGGGAAGGAUUAAAGAUUAAUAUUUUCAGUAAAGGAAUAUUUUAUUCCAAUGUGUCAUUCUUCUCACAUGUGAGUUAUGACUAUGUGAGUAUUUUAAAAAUAUUCACAAUAGACAUCAUCAUGUGGCUCUUCAUGUGAUAAGUCAUUGGUAUCGACAUUAUCAUGUGGCUCUUCAUCAUCUUGUGGCUCUUCAUCAUCUUGUGGCUUUUCAUUGACAUCGACUUCAUCGUCCAUCGACUUCAUCGUCGUAAUACAUCUUAUCAUUCUCUUGGUAUAAGUCAUCAUCAUAAGUCAUCGUCAUCCCUAAUUGUGAUUGGAUAAAAUAUAUCUGAAUGGAAAAGUAACAAAAAUUAAAAAAUAGUAAGGGAAAUAGGGAAAAGGAAUAAGGAAUUAAGGAUUAAUAUUAUAUUUAGGGAUAUUUUAUCCCAACAGUAAGGGAAGGAUUAAGGAUUAAUAUUUUCAGUAAGGGAAUAUUUUAUUCCAACAUGUGUCAUUCUUCUCACAUGUGAGUAUUUUAAAAAUAUUCACAGUAGAGCAUAAAACAUGUGGUUGCUUCUUACCCAUGUACCGCAUGUAAAAAUAUUAAAUAUCCACAUGUCACAGCAUUCACAUAAGGAAGACAAGUGGUUGCUUCUUAAUUCUUAUAUAGAGUGGUUGUGUCAUUAAAUAUUUACAUGUCAUAUGGUGGUUGCGUUUUAAAUAUUUACAAACGCAACACGCUUUUUAAAUAAACGCAACACGAGUAGAGGUGGUUACCGUUUUUUUAAGCAACGUCAGGAGAGGAGUCCGUGUGCUGCUCGCGCUCAUGUCAGGUAUGUGCUCGCCUCUCUACUCACGUUUUUUUAUGUUAUGGACUCUGGACUAUUUUAUGCGGGGAUUUUAGUUUUUUUUUUAUUAUUAUUUUUUAUAAUUCGGGUAAAACCCGAUGACCCCACCCGAUGACCCGACUCGCCAAACGCAUAGAACAUCUAUGCGGAGGUCUGGAAAACUGCAUGGUCGUUUAUGCGGCGCAUAAACGACGUAUAGAAAACCAUGUAUGCUAGUAUUAUUAUCCUUGAUUCUCCUUCUUCUUUGGUGAAGAAGGCAUAGUUUGAUUUUGUUUGUUUGAAACCUAGUGUUUUUAAUGCAUUGUUUAGUUUUUGAAACCACAUUCUAGAGGCUUGUUUUAGACCAUAUAGUGAUUUCUUUAACUUACAAACCAUGUUCUUGUUUUGUGGUUUUUGAUUUUCAUUUGUCAGGCCUUGUGGAAUUUUUAUGAAGACUUCCUCAUUUAAUUCUCCAUGUAAAAACGCAUUUUGUACGUCCAUUUGAUGUAAAUGCCAUUUGUUCUUGACUGCUAGGGCUAUCAAGGUUCUUAGUGUGGUCAUCCUUGAUACAUGGGCAAAUGUAUUAGUGUAAUCUAUCCCUUCCACUUGACUGUAUAUCUUGACAACUAAUCUGGCCUUAUAUCUCUCUAGUGUUCCAUCUGAGUUAAAUUUUACUUUGUAAACCCAUUUGUUUCCUAUUGCUUUCUUACAUUCUAGUAGUUCUACAAUUUCCCAAGUAUAAUUCUUUUAAAGCUUUUAACUCUUUAUUCAAUUGCUUCACAUCAGUUUUCAUCUUUAAUGGUCUGUAUGUAUGUUUUUGGUUCCUUUAUUGAACUUAUUUCUAUGAGAAAAUUAGUUUCGUGUUUCUCUGAGAAGUUGUCAUAUAUGAGAUGUAGUUUUCUAUUGGGUAAUUGGAUUUGUUUGCAUUAUAGCCAAUGUAGUCCUCAUACAUUUUUGGCUUUUUUGUUUUUUUGUUUGGUCUGGUGGUGUUUGGUUCUAUUUCUUUUCUUUUGAUUUUGUGGUGAUUUUGGUGUUGGUGUUUGUGUUAUUGGCAUUCUUUAUGUCUCUUAUUAGGUUUUGAACUUCCUUUGGUUUCUCUUGAUUUUUAAAUGAGAAUACUGUUUCAUAGAAUGUUACAUCUUUGUGUUAUAAAAAUUGUUUCUAUUUCUAUGUCUAGGAUCUUAUAUCCUUUACUUUUUAUUGAGUAUCCAAGGAAUAAUCCCUUGAUUGCUCUUGGCUCAAAUUUGUCUGUUGUUUUGUUAUUUUUGGCAUAGCAUAGACAUCCAAAAACCUUUAGAGUGUUAUCACUACAGGGUUAUAAAAUAAAUUACCAAAAACAAUGACUGAUAUGCAUGUUACAAAAUAAAUCUCACAAAAAAUCACUUACAAGGUUAGGCUUUUCGGAUUUUCAAUGAUCUUUGGAAAUGUCAGUGGAAAGGUUGCUAACUCAGCACCAUAAAUAAUAAACUAAAUGGAUCAUUGGUUUUUUAUUAACCAAUCAUCCAACUUAAUAAACUAAAAAACAGAAUAGGGAUGAGUAUGGAAUCAAGAUGCGAUCGGUACACAUGGGAAUCAAAUUUUCAUUACUUUAGGUAGGUUUUGAUGUAGCUCCCGACAUCGUUUAAGUUCCCUGUUGGACUUUGACGUUUCUCUAUAUAUUAAGGAGGCCGAUGGGGAUGGAAUCAAAAUAUGAAACUCUAAAUAUUAAAUCUGUCUCCAUAAUUGGUAUUGGGGGAUUUCGAAGAAAAAAAAACAUGAUCUGGAAUAAGUUGGACAGGAAGAACACAAAAGUUUGAAAAACAAAAGUUGGACAGAGAAAUAGCGAUUGAGAAGAUUGAGAAGUUGGACAGAAGAUUAAAAUUAAUAACCGGCUGGAGUGGAGCUUGAAAUUUUUUCUUGAGAAGAUUGAGAAGAAAGAUUUGGGUAUAAGGGUUUACGAUUUGGGUAUAAGGGUUUGGGAUUUUUUAUGGGUGAAUUUUCAUAAACUACCUUAAGAUAAAUAUAAUUUAAUAAAAUAACCUUAUAAUUUAUAUUAAUUAGUAUAAAAUUAUUUGGGGAAGUGAAAGUGAAAUGAAAAAAAGAAGGGAAUGAAAAUUAAUUUUAUUUAAUAGUUAUACUUAGCGACGAUAAAUUUUAAAUCAUCGCUAAUUAUACAAAAAAAAAAAGAUAAUUAACGACAAUAUUUCAAAUUCCUUCAUGAAUUUUAGUGUAUAUUCUGGUUCUUUGUUGAAAAGUAGACAGUAGGGUGUUUUGUUUUGUAUAACAUGUAAAGGUGUUCUGUUUAUUAAGAAUGUUGUUGUAAGUAUGCAUUCUCCCUAAUAUUUGAUUGGAGUUUGUGAGUGAUACAUUAUUCUUCUAGCCACAUUUAGUAGAUGUCUGUGCUUACUUUCUGCAAUUGAGUUUUGUUGUGGGGUAUAUGCAUGGGCAUGUUAAUUGAUGCCUUAUACCGUGUGUUUUUAGAAAAUCUUGGAAUGUGUUAGCUAUGAAUUCAGAUCCACUGUUUGUCAUAAUCAUUUUUAUUUUUGUUUGGAAUUGAUUCAUGCAGAGUAAAGUUUCUGAAAUUUUCAAAAGCAUUGCUUUUGUUUCUCAUCAUGAUUGUCCAAGUUGUCCUAGAAUAAUCAUCUACUAUUGUUAAGAAGUACUUAUGACCUUUAUGUGUAACUACUUUAUAUGAGCUCCAAAUAUCAAGAUAUAAUAACUCAAUUUUUUUUGCAGUUUUAGAAUUACUGGUUGGAAAAGAAAAUCUAGUAUGUUUUGCCAUAGGGCAAUCAUUACAUAUAAUAUCAUCUAAUUUAGGAAUAGCAUUGUUUAUCUUCCUAAUUAAAUCAUAUCUAAUAGAGGAUGGAUGGCCCAAUCUUUUGUGCCAUAUGCUAGCUGAAGGAUUCUAGCUUGUUGACAGAGAGUAGACUUUUGGGUAUUCCAGGUUUUCUUUUGUUCCUUCAAAGAGUGUAUAAAGCCCAUUAAUCCUUCUACCCAUAGAAAUCAAGUUUCCCUUCGAAUCCUGUAUCAAGCAAUGAUCAGGAUAAAAUGAGAAACAACAUUUUAAUUGUUUUGUCAAUUUUGUUACUGAGAUCAAAUUGACAUUGAAAUCAGUGAUUUUUAGGACAUUUUAUAAUGUCAAAUUGUUGUUAAUCUUGUAUUUUCUAAUAUAAUUCACAUAUGCUAUUUAUGAAUUUGGAAGAUGAACAACAAUAGGUUUUGUAAGACUUUUCUGAUCAGUAAGUAUGAUAUUUGAACCACACAUGUGAUCAGUUGUACCACUGUCAAUUAUCCAAGUGGUGGUAUUCUUACUGUGGGUAUUGAAAUAUAAUGAGUGAUUCUUACCAGUAAGAUUGGGGUUUUUGUGCCUCUGGAGGGUGUUGUGUUUGUACCCUUCCCAUGUUUACAUAAUGCAUGCCUCUCCCCUUCAGCUGUUUGUCCUUGAUUUUGAUUGAGAAAAUUCUUGAUUUGCUCUAUAAUAUCUGCAUUACUUUGCUGUCCUGUUUCAAUUUGGUUUUCAUGUUGAUAGGAGACAUUAUUUGCCCAUUGCUCUUGUUCCCAUCCUUCUUCAGUAGUGUUGUAAUCUUGACUUUGCAUAUUUGACCCAUAGCUGUUGUUGUUUUCUUGCCAAUGUGGAGUUUCAUACUCUUUAGAAUAAGAGUUGUAAACUCUAAACUCUUGGUUGUGGCCUUUGGGGUCUAAAAUUGUUGUUGUUGUUUGGACGGUACCUAUUUCUAAAAUUUUGGAAAUUUUGCCCCCUUGCUUGCUGGUUGGGAGGUCUGAAAUAUCUCCUUUGUUGGUUGUAUUGUGAGAUCAUUGAUUGAGUGAGUGGUCUUAAUUGGACCUUGUUGGUAUGUUGGUCUUUCUGUUAGAUACCCAUGUAGUUGAUAGCAUGUAUUGAUUGUGUGACCUGACCUUUUACAUCCAUUACAAUAAGGCCUUUCUCCUUGUGGCUUUGGUAGCCUGUAGGGCGCUUGAGCCAGUAGUGCUGUUGCUGAUUCUCUUGGUGUUUCCAAGUCUCUCUGUUGUUCAUCCUGGGUUACCAUAGAGUAUGCCUUGUUCAGAUCAUACUGGAGUUCAGUAAGUAUGAUUUGCCUACCUACUUGUUUGUAGCAGCCGUUUAAUCUAUUUAUAAACUUUAUUAGUCUUUCCUCUUGUUUGACUUCAACACUCUUCCUGUUCAUGUCAUAAUCAUUCCAUAAUUUUGUAAGUUUUGUGUGAUAACUGCAAACCGAGUCUUCACCCUGUGUUAGGUUGAAGAUUUUGACUUGUAGUUGAUAGACUAGGGGUCCAUUUUGUAUAUGGAACCUUUCUUUCAAUUCUUUCCAUAAGAGGUAUGAUGUUUUGUAGAACAAAAAUGCCGAUGAUAAUUUCUGGCUCAAACCAUUGAGUAUCCAGGACCUUACAAGUGCAUUUGUUGCUUUCCACCUCUGGUGUUUUGCUUGUUCAGUUACUAUGUCGGGCUCUUGUUCUUCACCUGUUAGGAUUUUUUUCUUGUUUUUGGACUCUACAUCUAUUAUAAACUGUGUACUCCAAAUUGUCCAGUUGUUUCUAUCCAUUUUGAAUGGCACCAACUGUGUUGCUGGAUUGUCUGAAUAUUGAUAUAUGACAUUUUCGUUUGCUAUUUCUAUUUUUGCCUCUGAAAAAAAAUAAUUAAAAUGCAGAAAAUGAAGCUGAGUCAAAAUUUAAAAAUAUUGGUGGUGAAGGUAUGGAAUGUAUGGAUCACGUGAUUGUCCCUAAACAGUUUCCUGUUUAUCAACCUCCUUUUGAUCGUGUGGCUUGGAAUAAUAUGGCUUGGGCUGGGAGAGUAUAUGAUGAUCCUAGGAGUGGGUGGGUUUAAUUAUAUGAGGGAAAAUGAGAAUCCUGAUUUUAUGGAUGAUGAUCCAGAUGAGGGGCCUCAACCAUUUGAUGUAUGAGAUCCUGAUGAACGGAAUGGGAGAUUUGAUGAGAUGUAUAAUGAUGAUGAAGGGGCGGGUGGUAUUUACGGAUUUAGUGAUGAUGAGAGGGUUGCAGAGAAUGAAGAUUACUGUAUUUUUAAGUGUGAGAAGGGUGAUUCAGUAAGAGAUUUGAAGAGAAAAAGGAGGAAGGCUGCUCUCAUGGCAGUUUAUAAAGAUAAGGCUAUAUCCCGUGGGGUUUGGGAUGGAGAGUAUCCUUCUCGUCUCUUGAUGAUUAUGUUUAUAUAAGUAAGUUAAGUCCUUAACUGGGUGGUGGUUGUUUAACUCUUUCCUUUGUGGAAGGUAGAAGAUAACUUUUAAGUAUGAUAAAUUAUUCUCCUCUCUCUUUUUUUGUGUGUAUAUAUGCUGAUGUUUUGAGAAAAAAAAAAUGGGAGAUUAGAAAAUGAUAUUUGUAUUUUGAUGAUGUUUGAAAAAAACAGGAAUGUGAUUUUGGGAAAAAAACAGGAAUGUAAUAUGUAAGGAAAAAUAUGAAUGAAUAUUUUGUGGAUCUUAUUACUCUGAUAACAUGUUAGAAUUAUAUAAUAUGUGUGAUUGGAAAUAUGACAAUAUGAUUUAAGAUUGUAUAUUAAUUUGAUAUGUGUGACCGAGAUGAAUAUUGCAAGAGACUAAAUAUGUCUGAUAUUGAAUAUGAUAUAACUUAUGAAUGUAAAUACAAUGUCUGAUAUUUGAUACAGAAUAGGAUGAUUUAUAGAUGUAUAUAGAUACUGAAUAUAAAAUAUGAUGUCUGAUAUUUGAUAUAGAGUAGAAUGAUUUAUAGAUGCAGGAGGUAAAUAUAUAUCAAUACUGUUUCAAGAAGUGCAGAUCGAAUGAACUGAAGAUCCUGAUUGAAGAUUGAAUAUGAUGUAGCGCUGACUGGGAUCGAGAGUCACAAGAUUGUAGAUCACAGAGAUGUUGAAGAAGACUUGAGAUUCCGGUUGUCAAUAGACAGAAGCCAAUAUCAAAGUAACAGAUUGCAGGAUUUGAAAUAGAUGGGUUUUGCUAUAUUUAUAGAUGGGUUUAGUGAACGGCUAUAGAAUUAGUGAACGGCUAUAUUUGCCUUAAAUUGGUAGUUGGAAGUUCUAGAAAUUUGUAAUGGUAUGUUAAGUAGUGUAAUUAAUUAUGUAAUGUUCUAUUUGUAACAUUACAUAAAUAUAUCCUGACACACAUAGUGAACGAGACCUUUUACCUAUUAUUAGAAAUCACAGUAAAGUGAGAAUUAAUAAUAUUUGUGCGAUUGUAAAUGUUAUUAUAAGAGAGUAAAUUGGUAUUUACAUCAUCAGUAAUUAUGAGUGAGA